rnacentral:misc_RNA from 1 species
GAUGAAGAACGUAGCGAAAUGCGAUAAGUAAUGUGAAUUGCAGAAUUCAGUGAAUCAUCGAAUCUUUGGACGCACAUUGCGCCCGUCAGUAUUCUGGCGGGCAUGCCUGUUCGAGCGUCAUUACGCCCCUCAAGUCCCCUGUGGACUUGGUGUUGGGGAUCGGCGAGGCUGGUUUUCCAGCACAGCCGUCCCUUAAAUUAAUUGGCGGUCUCGCCGUGGCCCUCCUCUGCGCAGUAGUAAAACACUCGCAACAGGAGCCCGGCGCGGUCCACUGCCGUAAAACCCCCCAACUUUUUAUAGUUGACCUCGAAUCAGGUAGGACUACCCGCUGAACUUAAGCAUAUCAAUAAGCGGAGGA